rnacentral:rRNA from 1 species
UACGUAGGGUGCAGGCGUUAAUCGGAAUUACUGGGCGUAAAGCGUGCGCAGGCGGUUUCUUAAGUCAGAUGUGAAAGCCCCGGGCUUAACCUGGGAACUGCGUUUGAAACUGGGAGACUUGAGUGUGGCAGAGGGGGGUGGAAUUCCACGUGUAGCAGUGAAAUGCGUAGAUAUGUGGAGGAACACCAAUGGCGAAGGCAGGCCCCUGGGUCAACACUGACGCUCAUGCACGAAAGCGUGGGGAGCAAACAGG